rnacentral:rRNA from 1 species
UAAUACGAAGGGGGCUAGCGUUGUUCGGAAUUACUGGGCGUAAAGCGCGCGCAGGCGGCUAUCCAAGUCAGUGGUGAAAGCCCGGAGCUCAACUCCGGAACUGCCAUUGAAACUGUUUAGCUUGAGGACGAGAGAGGUGAGUGGAAUUCCCAGUGUAGAGGUGAAAUUCGUAGAUAUUGGGAAGAACACCGGUGGCGAAGGCGGCUCACUGGCUCGUUUCUGACGCUCAGGCGCGACAGCGUGGGGAUCAAACAGGAUUAGAUACCCUGGUAGUCCACGCCGUAAACGAUGAUUGCUAGCCGUUGGGCAGCUUGCUGUUCAGUGGCGCAGCUAACGCAUUAAGCAAUCCGCCUGGGGAGUACGGCCGCAAGGUUG